GCAGUGGUUGUUUAGUGGCAGAAUUUUUGUUUUCAGCGCAGAAGUCCCGUGUUCAAUUUCCGGCCAAUGUA
rnacentral:tRNA from 1 species